GACGAACGCUGGCGGCGUGCUUAACACAUGCAAGUCGAGCGAGUGAGUUCUUCGGAACGAUCUAGCGGCGGACGGGUGAGUAACACGUGGGCAACCUGCCUCAUAGAGGGGAAUAGCCUCCCGAAAGGGAGAUUAAUACCGCAUAACAUCGUUGAAGGGCAUCCUUCGAUGAUCAAAGGAGUAAUCCGCUAUGAGAUGGGCCCGCGGCGCAUUAGCUAGUUGGUGAGGUAACGGCUCACCAAGGCGACGAUGCGUAGCCGACCUGAGAGGGUGAUCGGCCACAUUGGGACUGAGACACGGCCCAGACUCCUACGGGAGGCAGCAGUGGGGAAUAUUGCACAAUGGGGGAAACCCUGAUGCAGCAACGCCGCGUGAGUGAUGACGGCCUUCGGGUCGUAAAGCUCUGUCUUUGGGGACGAUAAUGACGGUACCCAAGGAGGAAGUCACGGCUAACUACGUGCCAGCCGCCGCAGUAA
rnacentral:rRNA from 1 species